rnacentral:rRNA from 1 species
CGGUAACGCGGGGACAACCUGGYGRCGAGUGGCGAACGGGUGAGUAAYRCAUCGGAACGUGCCCAGUAGUGGGGGAUARCCCGGCGAAAGCCGGAYUAAUACCGCAUACGACCUACGGGUGAAAGSRGGGGAUCGCAAGACCUYKCGCUAUYGGAGCGGCCGAUGUCAGAUUAGSUWGUUGGYGGGGUAAARGCCYACCAAGSCGACGAUCUGUAGCUGGUCUGAGAGGACGACCAGCCACACUGGGACUGAGACACGGCCCAGACUCCUACGGGAGGCAGCAGUGGGGAAUUUUGGACAAUGGGCGCAAGCCUGAUCCAGCCAUGCCGCGUGCGGGAAGAAGGCCUUCGGGUUGUAAACCGCUUUUGUCAGGGAAGAAACGCUYCGGGYUAAUACCYCGRRGUAAUGACGGUACCUGAAGAAUAAGCACCGGCUAACUACGUGCCAGCAGCCGCGGUAAUACGUAGGGUGCAAGCGUUAAUCGGAAUUACUGGGCGUAAAGCGUGCGCAGGCGGYYUUGCAAGACAGAUGUGAAAUCCCCGGGCUYAACCUGGGAACUGCAUUUGUGACUGCAWGGCUGGAGUGCGGCAGAGGGGGAUGGAAUUCCGCGUGUAGCAGUGAAAUGCGUAGAUAUGCGGAGGAACA